rnacentral:rRNA from 1 species
CCUACGGGAGGCAGCAGUAAGGAAUAUUGGUCAAUGGACGAAAGUCUGAACCAGCCAUGCCGCGUGAAGGAUGAAGGCCCUCUGGGUUGUAAACCUCUUUUAUCUGGGACGAAAAAGGGAAUUCUUUCCCACUUGACGGUACCAGAGGAAUAAGCACCGGCUAACUCCGUGCCAGCAGCCGCGGUAAUACGGAGGGUACAAGCGUUAUCCGGAUUCACUGGGUUUAAAGGGAGCGUAGGUGGGUCUGUAAGUCAGUGGUGAAAUCUCCGAGCUUAACUCGGAAACUGCCAUUGAUACUAUAGGUCUUGAAUUAUCUGGAGGUAAGCGGAAUAUGUCAUGUAGCGGUGAAAUGCUUAGAUAUGACAUAGAACACCAAUUGCGAAGGCAGCUUGCUACGGAUAUAUUGACACUGAGGCUCGAAAGCGUGGGGAUCAAACAGGAUUAGAUACCCUGGUAGUCCACGCCCUAAACGAUGGAUACUCGACAUCAGCGAUACACUGUUGGUGUCUGAGCGAAAGCAUUAAGUAUCCCACCUGGGAAGUACGACCGCAAGGUUGAAACUCAAAGGAAUUGACGG